UACGGAGGGGGCUAGCGUUGUUCGGAAUUACUGGGCGUAAAGCGCACGUAGGCGGACUGUUAAGUCGGGGGUGAAAUCCUGGGGCUCAACCUCAGAAUUGCCUCCGAUACUGGCAGUCUCGAGUGCGGGAGAGGUGAGUGGAAUUCCCAGUGAUAGAGGUGAAAUUCGUAGAUAUCAGGAGGAACACCGGCGGACGAAGGCGGCACGUCUGGGCCGGUACUGACGCUGAGGAGCGAAAGCGUGGGUAGCAAACAGG
rnacentral:rRNA from 1 species